rnacentral:rRNA from 1 species
AACGAAUGCUGGCGGCAUGCCUAACACAUGCAGGUCGAACGAAGCCUUCGGGCUUAGUGGCGCACGGGUGCGUAACGCGUGGGAAUCUGCCCUUUGGUUCGGAAUAACAGUUGGAAACGACUGCUAAUACCGGAUGAUGACGAAAGUCCAAAGAUUUAUCGCCAGAGGAUGAGCCCGCGUAGGAUGAGCUGGUUGGUGUGGUAAAGGCGCACCAAGGCGACGAUCCUUAGCUGGUCUGAGAGGAUGAUCAGCCACACUGGGACUGAGACACGGCCCAGACUCCUACGGGAGGCAGCAGUGGGGAAUAUUGGACAAUGGGCGAAAGCCUGAUCCAGCAAUGCCGCGUGAGUGAUGAAGGCCCUAGGGUUGUAAAGCUCUUUUACCCGGGAUGAUAAUGACAGUACCGGGAGAAUAAGCCCCGGCUAACUCCGUGCCAGCCGCCGCCGUAA